CCUGAGCAACCGAAUCUCGGGUUAAGAAUCACAGAUGAGGAGAGCUAUGGAAACUGAGGAGGAGUCUCUCUUCAGCACUGCAUCCUCCUGGCUGUUCACAGAGCCUUUGGCCGUUUUGCCACCAGAUGACUCACAGUGCCCUGGCAUGUCCUGUGGUAGCUGGCCCCACACAUGGUACAGGACACAUCUACUCCCAAGGCAGCCCGCAUGCAGACGGAAGAGAAAGAAUGAGACCCCGCAUCCCUGACCCGAUGCAGACUCUGUGCAGAUUCCCACGACUUUCAUUGUUGUGGAUGCGACUCUGGACCCAGCUCAUCCCAAAUGUGUCCUGUCAAAGGAUUAAGAAAAGGAAGCUAGUGAAUGCCACCAAGUAAACAAACUACUGCUACCAACAGGCAACAACAACAAGACCAAAGCAUCAACCUCAUGCCAGCAUCUGUCCUGUGACAAGCUGCCCCAUCUUGCACCCGUUUCCGUUGCAUGAAGGAGGGACUGGUUCACACAGAGAGCUGUGGGUCUUGAAGGCGAGAAGGAUGUAGGUGAGCCUUUGUGCAGAGACUUGUUCCUCAAAGCUGGGCCCAGACAGACACUAAUUGGAGCUGCUCCCCCUGGGGAGACAUCACCUCCACAAGGUAAGAAAAAGUAUCGAGGCUGAGAAACAAAGAAGCUCCUGGAAGAACCUGGACACUUCUGCAACAGUGAUAACCUCUGAGCCAUGUUCUAAAGAAGAAGUAAAAGUUCAUCAGGAGAAGAAGGGAGUCCAGGAAUUAUAGAAAGACUCUUGUGGAAAGGUCAAGUGUCAUUAAAAAAAAUUCCUUAUUAUGUAAAUACAGUGAAGUUCCAGGACUGAGAGCAUGGACUACAUGAGGAGGAUUGGUUUUAAAUAAAUAUGGAAAUGAA